rnacentral:rRNA from 1 species
AUUGAACGCUGGCGGCAGGCCUAACACAUGCAAGUCGAACGGUAGCACAGAGGAGCUUGCUCCUUGGGUGACGAGUGGCGGACGGGUGAGUAAUGUCUGGGAAACUGCCCGAUGGAGGGGGAUAACUACUGGAAACGGUAGCUAAUACCGCAUAACGUCGCAAGACCAAAGAGGGGGACCUUCGGGCCUCUUGCCAUCGGAUGUGCCCAGAUGGGAUUAGCUAGUAGGUGGGGUAACGGCUCACCUAGGCGACGAUCCCUAGCUGGUCUGAGAGGAUGACCAGCCACACUGGAACUGAGACACGGUCCAGACUCCUACGGGAGGCAGCAGUGGGGAAUAUUGCACAAUGGGCGCAAGCCUGAUGCAGCCAUGCCGCGUGUGUGAAGAAGGCCUUCGGGUUGUAAAGCACUUUCAGCGGGGAGGAAGGCGGUGAGGUUAAUAACCUCAUCGAUUGACGUUACCCGCAGAAGAAGCACCGGCUAACUCCGUGCCAGCAGCCGCGGUAAUACGGAGGGUGCAAGCGUUAAUCGGAAUUACUGGGCGUAAAGCGCACGCAGGCGGUCUGUCAAGUCGGAUGUGAAAUCCCCGGGCUCAACCUGGGAACUGCAUUCGAAACUGGCAGGCUAGAGUCUUGUAGAGGGGGGUAGAAUUCCAGGUGUAGCGGUGAAAUGCGUAGAGAUCUGGAGGAAUACCGGUGGCGAAGGCGGCCCCCUGGACAAAGACUGACGCUCAGGUGCGAAAGCGUGGGGAGCAAACAGGAUUAGAUACCCUGGUAGUCCACGCCGUAAACGAUGUCGAUUUGGAGGUUGUGCCCUUGAGGCGUGGCUUCCGGAGCUAACGCGUUAAAUCGACCGCCUGGGGAGUACGGCCGCAAGGUUAAAACUCAAAUGAAUUGACGGGGGCCCGCACAAGCGGUGGAGCAUGUGGUUUAAUUCGAUGCAACGCGAAGAACCUUACCUGGUCUUGACAUCCACAGAACUUUCCAGAGAUGGAUUGGUGCCUUCGGGAACUGUGAGACAGGUGCUGCAUGGCUGUCGUCAGCUCGUGUUGUGAAAUGUUGGGUUAAGUCCCGCAACGAGCGCAACCCUUAUCCUUUGUUGCCAGCGGUUAGGCCGGGAACUCAAAGGAGACUGCCAGUGAUAAACUGGAGGAAGGUGGGGAUGACGUCAAGUCAUCAUGGCCCUUACGACCAGGGCUACACACGUGCUACAAUGGCAUAUACAAAGAGAAGCGACCUCGCGAGAGCAAGCGGACCUCAUAAAGUAUGUCGUAGUCCGGAUUGGAGUCUGCAACUCGACUCCAUGAAGUCGGAAUCGCUAGUAAUCGUAGAUCAGAAUGCUACGGUGAAUACGUUCCCGGGCCUUGUACACACCGCCCGUCACACCAUGGGAGUGGGUUGCAAAAGAAGUAGGUAGCUUAACCUUCGGGAGGGCGCUUACCACUUUGUGAUUCAUGACUGGGGUGA